UCUUGCUCUGUCCUCCAUUCCUACCCUGCUUGCACACUCACACACUAGAUAACUGACGGUCUCUCCCUCCCUCCCUCUCGUUCCCUCCUUCUCCUUUUUGCCUAUUUCUUUUUUCUCUGCCACACCACCAAUACUUUUUUUCCUGGUUUGCAGUGUUUUUAUGCUUUAGCUACAGUAUAUAGAAACCGGUUAUGUGCUGCUACCGUGAGUGCUAUCCCAUUCACAGAUCCAGCAGCAGCGUAGCUUAUCUCUGGACAGACUGCUUUUGCGCUGCUGCUCUUCUGCUUUGUUUUCCCACUUGUCUGCUUUUUUAACUAAACCUUUUCUUUUGAUAACCCUCUUGUUUUUUUCCAAAAACUAAUCUGCCAAGCAGAGAAAGAAACAGAUGGAAAUCUGUCUUUGCGAAAGGGGAGAUGAGGAAGCAGAAAAGUAGAGAGCUGGAAGUGAACGGGUAACAGGACUGAAGACAAGACUGGGUCUAGGCUGCAAGACGAGAGGAAAAGCAGUAAAGAGAGGAAGAAAUGAAGGACAGAGGGGUGAUCGAGGAGGAAUCAGAAAAAAAUUGCUGGAAAAGAGGAAAAUGGCCAUACCCAUCUGACAUCUGCUGCCUCGGCAGCAUAUCCAGAGAGCGGUUCUUGCGUUUCAAGUGCAAAUGGCUACCAGCAUGGAGAGGAUGGCUCAGACACCGAGACAGAGACGGUUGGCUGGUUCAGCCAGACGAGCAGCCAUGAGCUUGAAAGGAAAUGUACUGCUUUAAAGUAUUCCCUUCAAAUGUAUUCUAACCUACUUUCAGAAAAGGACUGAGAUGUGUUUUGGCAAAAAAUUCUAUGGUGUCUGUACUGUCAUGUUUUCUAGAAAACUCUAAAUGGUUAAGGUUGUCCUCCAUUAUAAAGAGCAAUAUUGGAAUGUUAAAGGGGUUCCCAUGAAGUUCUGUAUUAGAAGCCUUCUGCUUUGAUUCUUUUAUGGGGGCUGUUUUUCUAGCAAAUAUGCCUGCAGUCCUUAAACCCUACCUGUUGGUGGUUCAUUGGUUAAAUGCAGUUUAAAACACAGCUACUGAUGGGGCAAAAUAUCCAUACAGUUCUAUGUGAGAUGUUCUUUUUAAGGAGUAAGCACAUGGAUGCAAACAAAGCCACUGUCACAUGCACAUACACACAUAGAUAUUAUUUAGAAACUCCUGGCCGCGCCCUCAAAAACAUGCACAUUAUUGAUGGUCUUUAACUUAUAACAAGGUUAGAGAACUUCAUGACAAAUCAUGAUACAUACAUCAGAUGUUUCAUUCUGUCAUCUCAGAACAGACAAGCAAUUUUUUUAAAAAUCUGUUUCAGGUCCGCAUUCCCCUCAGAGGAACUCUGAUUAUAUUAUACAAUAAACAC
rnacentral:lncRNA from 1 species